rnacentral:rRNA from 1 species
UCCGUAGGCGGAUUGAUAAGUCAGAGGUGAAAUCCCACAGCUUAACUGUGGAACUGCCUUUGAAACUGUUAGUCUUGAGUUAUAUGGAAGUAGAAAGAAUGUGUAGUGUAGCGGUGAAAUGCAUAGAGAUUACACAGAAUACCGAUUGCGAAGGCAGUCUACUACGUAUAUACUGACGCUAAUGGACGAAAGCGUGGGGAGCGAACAGGAUUAGAUACCCUGGUAGUCC